ACUCAAAUGAAUUGACGGGGGCCCGCACAAGCGGUGGAGCAUGUGGUUUAAUUCGACGCAACGCGCAGAACCUUACCCAGACUUGACAUCCGGAAAAUCCUGCAGAGAUGUGGGAGUGCCCGCAAGGGAAUUCCGAGACAGGUGCUGCAUGGCUGUCGUCAGCUCGUGUCGUGAGAUGUUGGGUUAAGUCCCGCAACGAGCGCAACCCUCGCCUUUAGUUGCCAGCAUUCAGUUGGGCACUCUAGAGGGACUGCCGGUGUCAAGCCGGAGGAAGGUGGGGAUGACGUCAAGUCCUCAUGGCCUUUAUGUCUGGGGCUACACACGUGCUACAAUGGCGGAUACAGAGGGAAGCAACAGCGCGAGCUCGAGCCAAUCCCAGAAAGUCCGUCCCAGUUCGGAUCGAAGUCUGCAACUCGACUUCGUGAAGUAGGAAUCGCUAGUAAUCGCGGAUCAGAACGCCGCGGUGAAUACGUUCCCGGGCCUUGCACACACCGCCCGU
rnacentral:rRNA from 1 species